CCUACGGGAGACAGCAGUGAGGAAUAUUGGUCAAUGGGCGCGAGCCUGAACCAGCCAAGUAGCGUGAAGGAUGAAUGCCCUACGGGGUGUAAACUUCUUUUAUAAAGGAAUAAAGUGAGGCACGUGUGCCUUUUUGUAUGUACUUUAUGAAUAAGGAUCGGCUAACUCCGUGCCAGCAGCCGCGGUAAUACGGAGGACCCGAGCGUUAUCCGGAUUGAUUGGGUUUAAAGGGAGCGUAGAUGGGUUGUUAAGUCAGUUGUGAAAGUUUGCGGCUCAACCGUAAAAUUGCAAUUGAUACUGGCAGCCUUGAGUACAGUUGAGGUAGUCGGAAUUCGUGGUGUAGCGGUGACAUGCUUAGAUAUCACGAAGCACUCCGAUUGCGAAGGCAGCUUACUAAACUGCCACUGACAUUGAUGCUCGAAAGUGUGGGUAUCAACCAGGAUUAGAUACCCCAGUAGUC
rnacentral:rRNA from 1 species